GGCCUGAUGGUCUAGUAGUAUGAUUCCUUGUUAGGGUUUAGAAGCAUUUCUUAAUCUUAACUCGAGGAGGUCCCGGGUUCAAUUCCCGGUCAGGCCC
rnacentral:tRNA from 1 species